UACAGAGGUCUCAAGCGUUGUUCGGAUUCAUUGGGCGUAAAGGGUGUGUAGGUGGCGCCGUAAGUCGGGUGUGAAAUUUCGAGGCUUAACCUCGAAACUGCAUUCGAUACUGCGGUGCUUGAGGACUGGAGAGGAGACUGGAAUUCAUGGUGUAGCAGUGAAAUGCGUAGAGAUCAUGAGGAAGACCAGUGGCGAAGGCGGGUCUCUGGACAGUUCCUGACGCUGAGGCACGAAGGUCAGGGGAGCAAACGGG
rnacentral:rRNA from 1 species